GAGCUUGUUCAGCCUCCGCCACCCAUUCUUGAGAAAUUCUGACCUUGGCUUUAUUUUGGUAGAGAAGUAUAUACUCAACAAAACUUCAGCACUUUUAGAAAGGAUGAGAAAAUGGUGAUGAAGUCACCUCCUUGGCAGUUCAAAGUACCCAGCAUGCCAAGACCUCAUACUCUGGAGUAUCACAAGCCCAGCAAUUGCCACCCCCUCACAUCACCUUAACUGGUACACAGUAGAAUUUACUAGCUGGUAAGUGGCCUUGUCGGAGUAGGUGCUUGUCAAUUAGAAGACCUCAAAAAGCAGGAACUCUGGCUCAUACCAGCUGUGUGAUCUAGCAUUGUUCUUGGCCUAUGAUUUCAGUUGGAAUAGAUUAAUGAUUCUCAAAAUGUGCUUCGGGG
rnacentral:lncRNA from 1 species